CCUACGGGGGGCAGCAGUGGGGAAUAUUGGGCAAUGGGCGCAAGCCUGACCCAGCGACGCCGCGUGAGGGAAGACGGUCUUCGGAUUGUAAACCUCUUUCAGCAGGGAAGACAAAAGGACGGUACCUGCAGAAGAAGCCACGGCUAACUACGUGCCAGCAGCCGCGGUAAUACGGAGGUGGCAAGCGUUAUCCGGAAUUACUGGGGGUAAAGGGUGUGUAGGCGGGUUUGCAAGUCAGAUGUGAAAAUUAUGGGCACAACCCAUAACCUGCGUCUGAAACUACAGAUCUUGAGUGUGGGAGAAGUAAACGGAAUGCCCGGUGUAGCGGUGAAAUGCAUAGAUAUCACGAAGAACACCAGUGGCGAAGGCGGUUUACUGGACCACAACUGACGCUGAGACACGAAAGCGUGGGGAGCGAACAGGAUUAGAUACCCGUGUAGUC
rnacentral:rRNA from 1 species